UACGUAGGGUGCGAGCGUUGUCCGGAAUUAUUGGGCGUAAAGAGCUCGUAGGCGGUUUGUCGCGUCUGCCGUGAAAGUCCGGGGCUCAACUCCGGAUCUGCGGUGGGUACGGGCAGACUAGAGUGAUGUAGGGGGAGACUGGAAUUCCUGGUGUAGCGGUGAAAUGCGCAGAUAUCAGGAGGAACACCGAUGGCGAAGGCAGG
rnacentral:rRNA from 1 species